ACACCGCUAAAGAGUCCCACAAUAGGACGAAACGGCCGUUCAAUAU
rnacentral:hammerhead_ribozyme from 1 species